rnacentral:rRNA from 1 species
UCAAGUAGAAAAGGGCGCAUGGUGAAUGCCUAGGCACUAGAAGCCGAUGAAGGACGUGACGAACCACGAAAGGCUUCGGGGAGCAGUAAGUAAGCGAUGAUCCGGAGAUAUCCGAAUGGGGGAACCCAAUACCGCGAGGUAUUAUCAAGAGCUGUUAAGGCUGUUGAAGGAAGACGCAGUGAACUGAAACAUCUAAGUAGCUGCAGGAAGAGAAAGAAAAAUCGAUUUCCCAAGUAGCGGCGAGCGAACAGGAAAGAGCCCAAACCAGCUGGCUUGCCAGUUGGGGUAGUAGGACUGCAAUAAAGUACUUGAAGCGAUAGCAGAAUUAUCUGGAAAGAUAAGCCAGAGAGGGUGAGAGCCCCGUAAGCGAAAUUGCAGAGAGACUUAGCAGGAUCCUGAGUAGGUCGGGACACGAGGAAUCCCGAUUGAAACCGCGAGGACCAUCUCGCAAGGCUAAAUACUAACUAGUGACCGAUAGUGAACCAGUACCGUGAGGGAAAGGUGAAAAGAACCCCGGAAGGGGAGUGAAAGAGAACCUGAAACCGUGUGCCUACAAGUAGUCAAAGCACAUUAAAGUGUAAUGGCGUGCCUUUUGUAGAAUGAACCGGCGAGUUACGUUAUGGUGCAAGGUUAAGUCAGAAAAGACGGAGCCGGAGCGAAAGCGAGUCUGAAGAGGGCGAGAGAGUAUCAUGACGUAGACCCGAAACCAAGUGACCUACCCAUGACCAGGUUGAAGGCGUGGUAAAACACGCUGGAGGACCGAACCCACGUGAGUUAAAAAUCGCGGGGAUGAGUUGUGGGUAGCGGUGAAAUUCCAAACGAACUUGGAGAUAGCUGGUUCUCUCCGAAAUAGCUUUAGGGCUAGCCUCGUGUGAAUGAUAAUGGAGGUAGAGCGCUGUUUGGACUAGGGGCCCGUCAGGGGUUACUGAAUCCAGAUAAACUCCGAAUGCCAGAUAUCAAUGCACGGGAGUCAGACUGCGAGUGAUAAGAUCCGUAGUCGAAAGGGAAACAGCCCAGAUCACCAGUUAAGGUCCCCAAAUCUAUGCUAAGUGGAAAAGGAUGUGGAGUUGCGUAGACAACUAGGAUGUUGGCUUAGAAGCAGCCACCAUUUAAAGAGUGCGUAAUAGCUCACUAGUCGAGUGACGCUGCGCCGAAAAUGUACCGGGGCUAAGCAUAGUACCGAAACUGUGGAUGCAUAUCAAAGGAUAUGCGUGGUAGGAGAGCGUUCUAAGAGCGGCGAAGUUAGAUCGAGAGGACUAAUGGAGCGCUUAGAAGUGAGAAUGCCGGUAUGAGUAGCGAAAGAUAGGUGAGAAUCCUAUCCGCCGAAAGACUAAGGUUUCCUGGGGCAGGCUCGUCCGCCCAGGGUAAGUCGGGACCUAAGGUAAGGCCGAGAGGCGUAGCCGAUGGACAACAGGUAGAGAUUCCUGUACUGAAAUUGUUCGAUAAGAGCAAAGGAGGGACGCAGGAGGCUAAUGACGCAUGUAGCUGGAAAAACAUGUGCAAGCAGUAAGAAAAAAGAUGAGUCAAAUGCUUAUUUUUAGAUUUCAAGCUGUGACGCGGAGUGAAAUCAAAGUAGCGAAGGUCAUGAUGUCACACUGCCAAGAAAAGCUUCUAGCCAGAGCAAUUUUACCCGUACCGCAAACCGACACAGGUAGUCGAGUGGAGAACACUCAGGUGAGCGAGAGAACUCUCGUUAAGGAACUCGGCAAAAUGACCCCGUAACUUCGGGAGAAGGGGUGCUGAUGGUAAAAGAUCAGCCGCAGUGAAUAGGCCCAAACAACUGUUUAUCAAAAACACAGGUAUCUGCAAAAUCGUAAGAUGACGUAUAGGUGCUGACACCUGCCCGGUGCUGGAAGGUUAAGAGGAGAGCUUAGCGCAAGCGAAGGUUUGAAUUGAAGCCCCAGUAAACGGCGGCCGUAACUAUAACGGUCCUAAGGUAGCGAAAUUCCUUGUCGGGUAAGUUCCGACCUGCACGAAAGGUGUAAUGAUUUGGGCACUGUCUCAACGAGAGACUCGGUGAAAUUAUAAUACCCGUGAAGAUGCGGGUUACCCGCGACAGGACGGAAAGACCCCAUGGAGCUUUACUGUAGCUUGAUAUUGAGUAUUUGUUAAACAUGUACAGGAUAGGUAGGAGCCAGAGAAAGUAGGACGCUAGUCUUACUGGAGGCAAUGUUGGGAUACUACUCUUGUUUGAUGGAUCCUCUAACUCGCAGAGCUGAGCGUUCUGGAGGACAGUGUCAGGUGGGCAGUUUGACUGGGGCGGUCGCCUCCUAAAAUGUAACGGAGGCGCCCAAAGGUUCCCUCAGAAUGGUUGGAAAUCAUUCGCAGAGUGUAAAGGUAUAAGGGAGCUUGACUGCGAGAGGUACACCUCGAGCAGGGACGAAAGUC